rnacentral:rRNA from 1 species
AAUGAACGUUGGCGGCGUGGAUUAGGCAUGCAAGUCGAGCGCGAAACGUAGCAAUACGUGGAAAGCGGCGAAAGGGAGAGUAAUACAUAGGUACGUACCCUUAGACCUGGGAUAGCGGCGGGAAACUGCCGGUAAUACCAGACAAUGUCUCCGGACCAAAGGUGUGAUUCCGUCUGAGGAGCGGCCUAUGUCCUAUUAGCUAGUUGGUAAGGUAACGGCUUACCAAGGCAAAGAUGGGUAUGGGGUGUGAGAGCAUGCCCCCACUCCCUGGGACUGAGACACUGCCCAGACACCUACGGGUGGCUGCAGUCGAGAAUCUUCGGCAAUGGACGCAAGUCUGACCGAGCGACGCCGCGUGCGGGAUGAAGGCCUUCGGGUUGUAAACCGCUGUCGUAGGGGAGGAAAUGCAGGUGGGUACUCCCAUCUGCUUGACUGAUCCUAGGAGGAAGGACCGGCUAAUCUCGUGCCAGCAGCCGCCGUAA